UCCCCCUUCCUCCUCCUCUUCCUCCUCCGAUUGGGUGGCUGCCAUUGCUCUCCAGAGUCUCCAAGCUCCAGCUCCCACUUCACCACCAUUCCGCUAGCCAGAGUCUCCCUCUUGAUCCCACCUCGGCUUCGAGUCUCGCAGUCCUCGUCCCGGUCUCUCUCUCUUCUACGUCCGUCCGAGAAGAAUUUCUUUGGGUUGAGGAGGGAGCUGCUGUUCUUGCUAGGCUGGGCUAGGCUAGAUCUGGGGGGAGAGGGUUGGUCGUUGUUCCGCGUGAAAUAUCUGGGGUUUUGCUGCGCUGGAGGUUCUUGCUGGCCAUGGUUUGUCCAGGCAUGCUGAGGCGCAAUCUCUGAGCUUUAUGAAGAUCGCUACUCACCUGCGCCGGUGCUGCUUCCUCCAGUCCUUCUCCGUCGUCUUCCUCUACUACUUUUAUGUGAUCUCAUAAUUGGCCCCUCUCUGAAAUCCGACCUUCCUACUAGUAAAAUCUUUUCUUCUUCUUCUUCUUCUUCUUCUUGCUUCAAUUUCCUGCUUCAACGAGUGAUAAAUAAGAACGGUAGCAGCAGUAGUAGCCAGGUGGUAGUGAUCUCGGUGCCAAGAUGUCGUCGUCGUCGCUGUCGCCGGGAGGAGGCGGGAGGCUGUCGGGCUCGGACGGCGACUCGGGCGCGACGUUCGCCGCCGGGGACAACCGGCGGGAGAAGAGGCGGCUGUCGAACCGGGAGUCGGCGCGGCGGUCGCGGCUGCGGAAGCAGCAGCACCUGGACGAGCUGGUGCAGGAGGUGGCGCGUCUCAAGGCCGAGAACGCGCGCGUGCUGGCCCGCGCCAACGACAUCACCGGCCAGUUCGUGCGCGUCGACCAGGAGAACACCGUGCUCCGGGCGCGCGCCGCCGAGCUCGGCGACAGGCUGCGCUCCGUCAACCAGGUGCUCCGCGUCGUCGAGGAGUUCAGCGGCGUCGCCAUGGACAUCCAGGAGGAGUGCCCGCCCGACGACCCCCUGCUCCGACCGUGGCAGAUCCCCUACCCUGCCACCGCCAUGCCCAUCGCCGCCACCGCCACGCACAUGCUCCAGUACUGAUCCAUCCAGUCAUGAUUGGGUCAAUAAUUCAAGAUCCCCCCUGUAGGAGCUGAGCUGUGGCUGGCAAGAGGAAGAAAACCAAGAAGAGCCGUACUGCUCUCUGCUCUGCUCUGCUCUACUCUGCUUGGCUGCUGCCUUGAGGAUUAUUACCAAAGGCGUAGUUGCUGCUAUAUGUUGUGUUUAUUAUUAUGUUUCAGUAAGUGUCUGUCGUCGUCCAUCUCCUAUGGCUAUUUUGUAACAGUAAUAAGGGUAAUUAUAUGCAUGGUUGUGUUCUAUGUAUCGUGAAUUUGUCAUGAACUAUGCCA
rnacentral:lncRNA from 1 species